rnacentral:rRNA from 1 species
CAAUGUGAACCAUACCAAACUGUUGCCUCGGCGGGGUCACGCCCCGGGUGCGUCGCAGCCCCGGAACCAGGCGCCCGCCGGAGGGACCAACCAAACUCUUUUCUGUAGUCCCCUCGCGGACGUUAUUUCUUACAGCUCUGAGCAAAAAUUCAAAAUGAAUCAAAACUUUCAACAACGGAUCUCUUGGUUCUGGCAUCGAUGAAGAACGCAGCGAAAUGCGAUAAGUAAUGUGAAUUGCAGAAUUCAGUGAAUCAUCGAAUCUUUGAACGCACAUUGCGCCCGCCAGUAUUCUGGCGGGCAUGCCUGUCCGAGCGUCAUUUCAACCCUCGAACCCCUCCGGGGGGUCGGCGUUGGGGACCUCGGGAGCCCCUAAGACGGGAUCCCGGCCCCGAAAUACAGUGGCGGUCUCGCCGCAGCCUCUCCUGCGCAGUAGUUUGCACAACUCGCACCGGGAGCGCGGCGCGUCCACGUCCGUAAAACACCCAACUUCUGAAAUGUUGACCUCGGAUCAGGUAGGAA